UCAAAUAAACGGAAACGCUUGGCUCCAAUGAAGUCAUCAGCAAACAUCUCUUUGCUCUCCUCGAGACUGUGUUCGAUAACAAAAACUUCUGAAUUAGCAUUUCCUGCUGGAAAAACAGAAAGAUUAAUUUCAGUGAGGUCUAUGGUGGUAGAUUUGAAGUCUGGUUUUGGGGGCUGUCUACUUAGGUGUCUUGGACAAGCAGCAGAAUUAUGGACCCGGCUUCUGAAGCCAUACUUCAUGGAUCUGAGUUGGCUCUGCUACAGGAGUUCCUCUGGAAUGCAGAAGAAAAUUUGGUUAAAAGUAAACGAAUCCCCUCAAAUCACGCAACGCAGGCACUUUGGGUCUCAUGUGGCAGCUUAGAGGGAUGAAGCUUUGGCUCAAGAAUUACCAUCUCACCUGAGUUCAUCUCUGGCAGAGGCAGGACCAGCCAGUUCUCGCUGGGCAGAAUUGUACUGGCCUAAUUUGAAGAGGUAAGGUGAGAGAGGUUUGAGACUACCUGCCUCUGACACCUCUUACAUCAGGGGUGGUCCUAAGCUCACUAAUCAUAUACUGCAGGAGACAGCUAGGGGCCAUUGCUGUGCUCUGGGAGCUGGUGAAGUGAGACUAGAAGUACUGAGGGAACCCGUUCUCCAACUGCUCUCUGCUAUGGUGUCUUUCAUUCCCACCAGCAAUGGAAGAGGGCACUGGGCUUUUCCAUCCCCACAUUAUGUGUCUUUUUGUUUAGAUUUAUCCUAAUGGGUGUGGAUGGUCCGUUAUUUUGGUUUCAGUUUAGAUUCUCCAGUGGUUAAAUGACGUUGAGCACCUUUCCUGAACUGAUAAGCCACUGAUAGCUGAUUCUCAGGUCUUUUCAGGUCAUUUGUCAUUUUAAAUGUGCCUUUCAGUAUUUGAUGUCUGUCUGUCUGUUCUGUCUGUCUGUCUAUUUGUGUUUUAAUGAUAGAGUUUCUCUGUGUAUUCUUGGCUGUACUGGAACUAGAUCUGUAGUCCAGGCUGGCCUUGAACUCACAGAGUUCUGCUUGCCUCUGCCUCCUGAGUGCGGGGAUUAAAGGCAUGCACCACCAAUGCCCAUCUCCAGAUAUUUAUUUUUAAAUUAUCGUUUAGCACAUAUUAUUGUGGAUAAUUGUCCUUUACCUAUGAUUUGAAAAUCUGUAUUUCCUCCCACUCUUUGGUUUAUCCUCUUACUUUUUUGAUGGUGUUGUUGGAAGCAUGGACAUCCUCAAGUUUCUAUGAAGUCCAAGCCAUGACAGCUUUCUCUUCUCAUGCGUGAUUCUGCGGCCAUCUUCUUUAAGGAAUGACUGGAAAACAGAAGUCACAAAAUGAAAGAGAAAAGAGAGUGUCUAAAGGAGAGAAGGGAGCUGUCCAGCAAGUACGGCAGAGCACUAGGGGAGAAUGGUACAUUCGUACUAAGGAUAGGAAAACACAUGCCUGGAAAGGUCACUAGGAACCCCACUACUUUGUGUGCAAACUUAAAAACAUAAAUUAAAACAAUAAAACCAAGGACUUGCAAACAGGAUCCUGUGGUUUUCUAAGUGAGUUGGCAUUGUACAGCCACUUUAUAAUUCACUGUUGCUUCUGAUACAAUGAUUGCAUUGUGGCAUGCUAUGAGGAAGGGGUCUAAUGUAACUUCUAAAUAUUUAUUUUUAGAGCAGCUUUAGAUUUACAAAAAAUAUCAUGAAGGUCUUCCAGAGUCCAGUGCUCCUCUGCCUCACAGUCUGUCCCAUUACUGUAAGAUAUGUGCUACAAAAUGAACAAAUGGAGUAUGUUGAUAAGGUCCAUCUUGUAUGUGGAUGUCCUACUGAUUGUAUGUACGCUUUCCCUUUUUCUGUUCUCAGGCCCUGUCAUGUCUACCUUUACAUCCAGUUGUCUGCAUCCUUAGUGUUCCCCUGGCUGUAAGAAUUUCAAAGAUUUUAUUUUGAAGGCCUUGACAGAUUUAAGGACUAACAGUCUAGUUACACUGAAAAAUGUAUCCCUCUAAUGGGAUUUAACUGAUAUUUUUCUAUUGAUUAAGUUAUAACUACAGGUGUUCAGAGGAUAACCAGAUGAGGAGUGACAUUUUCAUCCCAGUAUGCUGCACACUGCGUACUAUGACUGCACACUAUCUGAUUGGAUGUUGAACUUGAUCACACGGCUGAAGUUGACGCCAUCUUUUCUGUGUUCCUCUACUGUGAAGUUAUACUUUGUUCCCCCAUUUUCAUGUGUACUUUAGAAGGAAGUCCUUACUCAUCUCCCCAAGGUGUGGAGUGGGAUGUGAUUGCCUGUCUCCUUGGGGAUGGAGGGUCUUCAUAAAUACUUGGAAAUUUCUGUAUAGGAUAUUUGUCACUUCUCUCUUACUGAUUUAUUUACUUAACCUAUCAUUUAUUUACAUCAUUCUAUUCAUGGAUGUUCAUCUUAUUCUUUGAAGUUUAGUCUUGUGAUGCUCAGUUCUAAUUAUUAACUUGACACAACCUAGAGUCACCUGGAAAGAAAGCCAAAAUGAGAAACUAUCUGCAUCAGGUUGCUUUUGUGUAUGGCAAUAGGGGAUUGUCUUAGUUAAGUUAAGUGAUGUAAGACCCUACUCACUGUGGGCAGCACCAUUCCCUAUGCAGGGGGUCCUAAAUUAUGAGAGUGCAUUACCGUGGCUGUGAUAUGAGCAUCUGCCAGAUACUGCUGCUGAGAAUUCCUUGCAGUGAUAGACCAUAGCCUGGAAUUGUGAGCUAAAAUCAAUCUUUUCUCCCAUAAAUUGAUUUUGUUAGGGUAUUUUGUCACAGCAACAGAAAUGAAAUUAGGGAAAUCUCAUGAUACUUUCUUUCUCAAUUUGUUCUACCUUUGGACAUUUGGGAAUUUUUUCCCAGUUAUAUCCGGUCUGCCCUUUGACACUACUUUCAUCGCUGUGUGUGUUUACUUCUUACCUCAUUUCCAGAAUCACCAUUUGUCCAUCAGGAAGCCUAGGGUUCCCGGUACUGGAGGAUGGUAUUAGAAAUCAGGAUCUGGAUGCAUGAUACACUCAUUGAUAUGUGGGUAUUGUUGUUUUAGAUCCUUCUGAUUGAACAAGAUAAUAUGUAUGUAUAUGGGCCCAUGCAUACACACACACGCACACACACACACACACACACACACACACACACACUACAGUAUAUAUGCAACAUCUAUAUCUAUAUUAAGCUAAGUAUGAACUGCACUGUAUCUUAAACCUCAUACAACAUAAAUCCUUGUGCUCUCUUGGUCUUGUUUUCUAUAAAUUCCCUCUCCAACUGGAAAACCUGACCUUCUUAUCAUCCUCCGCUAAUAUGGCUGCUCAGUCCCAGGAUGCAGCACUAUCAGAAGUACCUCACACUGAAAAGCUAUCAACCAGAGUGGAGUAUGCAUGUAUAGGUUCUUUAAAUUGUAUUUUGCAGAUUUCAGUUACUUCUAAGGGUGCUUAGAUGAACACCAUCCAUUCAAUUUUAGGGUUUCCUUUACUUUCUAAAUUAUUUUUCAAAUAUUUGCAUUGGUAAAGAAUUUUCUUUUGGUGCUGCGAAGUUCAUUAAGUCUUGACAAACACAUACUAUUUUUUCCCUGCUUGUUUUUAUUUAUUUAUUUUUUCAUCUUUAUUAACUUGGGUAUUUCUUAUUUACAUUUCGAUUGUUAUUCCCUUUCCCGGUUUCCAGGCCAACAUCCCCCUAAUCUCUCCCCAUUCCCUUCUCUAUGGGUGUUUCCCUCCCCAUCCUCCCCCAAUUACUGCCCUCCCCCCAAUAAUCACGUUCACUGGGGGUUCAGUCUUGGCAGGACCAAGGGCAUCCCCUUCCACUGGUGCUCUUACUAGGCUAUUCAUUGCUACCUAUGAGGUUGGAGCCCAGGGUCAGUCCAUGUAUAGUCUUUGGGUAGUGGCUUAGUCCCUGGAAGCUCUGGUUGGUUGGCAUUGUUGUUCAUAUGAAGUGACAAACCCCCUCAAGUUCUCAGUUCAGUGGUUUGCUGCUGGCAUUCGCCUCUGUAUUUGCCGUAUUCUGGCUGUGUCUCUCAGGAGAGAUCUACAUCCGGUUCCUAUCAGCACUUCUUUGCUUCAUCCAUCUUGUCUAAUUGGGUGGCUGUAUAUGUAUGGGCCACAUGUGGGGCAGGCUCUGAAUGGGUUCCUUCAGCCUCUGUUCUAAACUUUGUCUCCCUAUUCCCUCCCAAGGGUAUUCUUGUUCCCCUUUUAAAGGAGUGAAGUAUAACACAUACUAUCUUACACAAUGGUUUCGUUCUCCUAAAUGUACCUCCUGCACUUACUUUACCUAUUCUAAUUUUCACCUCUUUCUUCAAACUCCUAGCAGCCACUAACAUUUCAAACUAUAUAUAACUAGUCCCGUUUUAGAAUGUCAUAGAAUCAAAAUAAUACAAUUGUACAUUCAUGUAUCAUUUUUUAUUUUUUAUUUUUAUUCUAUCAUAUAUUACUUCCUGACUGCACUUUUCCAUCCUUCUCCUCUUCUUCAGAUCCAUCCCCAUCUGCCUUCCCUUUGAAAAAGUGCAGGCCUCCUAGGGACAUCAACUGGACUUGGUAUAACAAGCUACAAUACGACUAGGCACAUAUUGUCACAUUAAGGCAAUCCAGUAGGAGACAAAGGGACCCACACAAGCAGACAAAAGAGUUAGAGAUAACCCCCACUCCCACUAAUAGGUUUCUUUCAUUUGUCAAUAAGCAUUUGAGGCCGAUGUAUGGUGUUUCCUUUUUAUUGUACAGUUAUAUCAUACUUUACCUUAGAUCUAUCACAAGUUUUCAGACAUCUUAGUGGUUUUUAGUCACUGUCCAUGAUGAAUAUCCAUGCUGUUAAUAUUUACAUGUGGGGUUUUCAAGACAACUGAUCGUCUAAGGUUGUUAGUGUGCAAACUCCACAAAGCUCUGAAGCACCAUGAUCACCAUAGUCACCAUAGAUUUCUUCCCGCAGUGAGUAGGAUUUGCUGCUUUGUGCUGUUGUUGGUAAUCGGUCUUGCCAGCCUGCUGUACACACCAAUAGACACCAUAGUACAUUUAUAUUGUUUCGAUGAGCAAUGCUUUAAUUAUGCAUGAUGAUAAGCAUCUUUCACGUGCUUCCUUUGCUUGGUUUGGUCUCCUUUGGUAGAGUAUUGGCUCAUUUUUGAAGUGUGCUGUUUUCUUGGUGUUAAAUCUUGAAAGUUCUUUGUAAAUGUGGAUACUCUUUUUUUUUUGACUUGUAUUUUAUUUGCAAGAUACUUUACAAAUGUUUUCUCCUAGUCCAUGAGUUGAUUUACCAUUAUCUUUUUGUUUGCUUGUUUUUUGUUUUUCAGACAGGGUUUCUCUGUGUAGUCCUGGCUGUCCUAGAACUCACUCUGUAGAUUGGGUUGGCCUUGAACUCAUAGAUCUGCCUGCUUCUGCUUCCUGAGUUCUGGCAUUAUAGACUUGUGCCAUCACCACUCUGUGAUUUGUCAUUAUCUUAAUGAUGCAUUUUUAAAGGAAAAAAAUUUUAAUUUUAAUAAGGAACAACAUCAUCUUCUUGAAAAGUUUUGUAUUUUAUAUUACGUAUAUGGUUCAUUUUACAUUGCCUUAGCCUAUCUUUUAAAUUUUUUAUGUGUGAACAUCCAGUUGUUCUAGUGCCAUUUGCUGAAGUAACCAUUCUUUCUCUACUGAAGUACCUUUGCUCUUUCCACAGAUCAGUUGGCUAUUUGUGUGGAUUUAUCUGUGGCCUCGGUUGACCAUAUUGACCAAGAUGUCUAUUCUUCAGUACAAUGCAGUCUUUGUUACUAUAACAUUGUAAAAGUCCUUAAAAUAAGGUGGUUUUAAUGCUUUGACACACUUUCCCUCUUCUGUGGAGUAUUCUCGCUCUUUGCCUCUCUGUUUAGAAUUAGUUGUUGGUGUGCCAUGUUCUAUUCACGUGGCUGUGAAGAUGUGAUCUCUUAAUGACACCAUUUUCUCAUCCACGGUUAUGUCCUGCCUCUUCAAUUACACUUUUAUUUCUAUUAAGACAUUUUUUUUUGUUUUCUUCAUACAGAUGUUGUGAACAGUUUAUUAGAUACAUUUCAUAUGGAGUUGCAAUCUUAAGUAGCAUGGCUGUCACAGUUAGGCCCUGUCAACUCGAAACAAACUUAGAUAUACUUGGAAAAAAGGAGUCUCAACUGAGGAUUAGCCGUGUGCCCAUGGAUGUGGGGCAUCGUCUUGAUUAUUGACAUGAGAAAUCCAGCUGCCUGUGGGUGGUGCUGUCCCUGGGAAGGUGACACUGUGUUAUACGAGAAAGAUACAUGAGCAAGCCACGGUAAGGAAGCCAGUAAACAGCACUCCCCUAUUGCCUCUGCAUCAGAUCUUGCUUCAGGAUUCCUGCUUGAGUCUCUGUGUUGACCCAGUGAUGGACUGUAAUUUGGAAGUGCAAGCCAAACAAACCCUUUCUUUCUCCAAGUUGUCUUGGGUCAUGGUGUUUAUCAUAGCAAAGGAAGUAAGCCAGGACAGAGAUUGGUACCAGAGUGAGUGUCACUGUUAUGGACCUGAUGACGUUUCGUUAGAGGAUUGUGGAAAUGUUUGGAACUUUGAGAUGGAAAUAAUAUUGUCUUAGUUACAGUUUCAUUGUUAUAAGGAGACACCAUGAUCAAGGCAAGGAAACUUCUAUAAAGGACAACAUUUAAUUGAGGCUUGAAACAUAGUUACUAAUCACUUGGGGUUAUAGAUAGGAAAUAUAUUUUAAUGUGUAGAUAUUUGCCCAGUUCUAGGGCUGAUUAAGGCUUAUGGUAAAUACAAAGAUUGUGUGUGUCUUUUAUUUGGGAACUAAGUGGUCAAAGGUAGGGCAGAAACCUGGAUUGGGAUUAAAAAUUUCUACAACAUUUUGGUGCCUCAAUGUCUGGCAAAGACUCUAAAAAUUAAUUUUAGACUCCCAAAUGAAAAAAAUACAUUGUCCCUUUAAAAUUAAGAGGCAGAGAGAAUUGGUUUCUUGGCUUGAUGCUAAUUCCUGUAUUCUAAUGCUAAUACUAGUUUCUCAAGACAUGGUUGUGAGUUGAGAGAGUCCACACAGAAGACCCAACUGAUAGACCCAAGUGAUGCUAUGCAACUUUGCCUCCAAGUUAUUUCUGAUUGGCAAGUAAAGUUGCUGACAGCCAAAACCCAGGCAGAAGAGAGAUAGGCGUGCUUUUGAGUCCCCUGGCCUGAGGAGUCAGGGGAGAACCACAAGGGAGAGAAGAGGGUGAGGAGAAAGGGUACGUCGCCAUGGGUUAGCAGUCAAGAAAACAUGGCCCUGAGGGAUGGCCAAUUGGAGUUAAGAGCAUCCCAGGUGCAACAUAGUAAGUAGUAACUUGGGGUUAUCAAUAGUAAAUGGAUUUUUAAUAGCAUAGAAGGUAGGUAGAUACCUGGUCAGUUCUAGUGUUGAUUAAGGUUUAUUGUAAAUAUAAAGAUUGUGUGUGUCUUUUAUCAGGGAGCUUAGUGAUCAAAGGCAGGUUAGAAAUCUUGGAGUGGGAUUCAAAAAUCUCUAAAGUAGGGGCUGGCUUACAGUUUGUGAGGUUCAGUGCAAUAUCAUCAUGUCAGGAAACAUGGCAGAGUCCAGGCAGACAUGGUGCUGGAGAAGGAGCUGAGAGGUCUACCUCUUGAUCUGAAGGCACACAGAAGGAGACUGUCUUCCACAAGCAGAACUUGAGCAUAGGACCUCAGAGCCCAUCCCCACAGUGACAUAUUUGUUCUAACAGGGCCACACCUACUCUAACAAGACCAUACCUUCUAAUAGUACCACUUCCCAAGGGCCAACCAUUUUCAAAUCACCACAAAUACUGAAUGUUCAGAGCUUUAUGGGUUGGUCAGUGGGAGUUCAGAAGAUAAUGCUGAGACAAGUGCAUAUGAUGGAGGCCUGGCUUGUGACAUUUCAGAGGGAAGUGAAAGCUCUGUAAGGGCUAUUUAUGUGAUAUAUUGGAUUAAGGAUCUACUGAAGUAAAACCUUUCCUGCGCAAAAGAUGCUGGUCAGUGACUAUUGAAUAAUCUUCAUGAUUAAUUAGAGAUUAGUAUCAUCAAAGUAAAAUCUUCUAAAAAGUAUUUCCUAAGAGUUAGUACACAGAAGACAUAGUUGCAGGGGUUGGAAUUCCUACAAUGAGGCCAAGAGGGCAUGGGUGAAAGUCCAGCCUCAGUUGCUGUUAAGAUCUCAAAGUUGCCAGAACUGUGGUUUGACUACCAAGAGGAACAGCAAAUAUGAAAUGGUGCUGAUCUGUAAUUAUGAGACAAGCAGUGUAGGCUGUAGAUGACAGAGCUGGAGAGGGGGGUGUGAGGCUACCCUAGCUCUUUAGAACCUAGAAGAUAAUGAGUGACUUCUAGAUAUUGAUAACUGAGCUUUUAGUAUAAAAGCUUUUAGUAUAAAAGUAUGUUGGAGUUUGGUUUUGCUAUGGUCUUAUUGUAAUGAUGUCCUGGUGAUUCACUUUUGAAACAAGAAAGUAUGCAACUUUUUUUUCAUUUACAUUUCAAAUGCUAUUCCCUUUCCUACUUUCCCGUUCACCCUGACAUUCUCCUACACUGGGGGGUCCAGCCUUGGCAGGACUAAGGGCUUCUCCUCCCAUUGGUGCCCAAAAAGGCCAUCCUCUGCUACAGCUGGAGCCAUGGGUUUGUCCAUGUGUAGUCUUUGGGUGAUGGUUUAAUCCCUGGGAGCACUGAUUGGUUGGUAUUGUUGUACUUAUGGGGUUGAAAGCCAUUUCAGAUCCUUCAAUCCUUUAAGUCCUUCAUUGGGGACCCCGUUCUCAGUCCAAUGGUUGGCCGUGAACAUCUGCCUCUGUAUUUGUCAUGCCCUGGCAAAGCCUCUCAGGGGACAGCUAUAUCAGGCUCCUGUCUGCAUGUUCUUCUUGGCCUCAGUAAUAUUGUCUGUAUUGGUUUGGUGGCUGUAUGUAUAUUGGCUGGAUCCCCAGGUGGGGCAGGCUCUGAAUGGCCAUUCCUUCAAUGUCUGUCCAAAGUUUGUCUCUGUAUCUCCUUCUAUGAAUAUUUUUGUUUCCCCUUUUAAGAAGGACUGAAACAUUUGUACUUUAGUCAUCCUUCUUCUUGAACUUCAAGUAGUCUGUGUAUUGUAGCUUGGGUAUUUAGAGCUUUUAGGCUAAUAUCCACUUAUCAGUGAGUGUAUACCAUGUAUUUUUUUUUUUUUUUGUGAUUGGGUUACCUCACUCAGGAUGAUAUUUUCUAGUUCCAUCCAUUUGCCUGUGAAUUUCAUGGAAUCAUUAUAUUUAAUAGCCAAGCAGUACUCCAUUGUGUAAAUGUACCACAUUUUCUGUAUCCAUUCCUCUGUAGAAGGACAUCUGGAUUCUUUCCAGCUUCUGGCUAUUAUAAAUAAGACUGCUAUGAACAUAGUGGACCAUGUGUCCUUGUUAUAUGUUGGGGCAUCUUUUGGGUAUAUGCCCAGGAGUGGUAUAGCUGGGUCCUCAGGUAGUGUUAUGUCCAGUUUUCUGAGGAACCUACAGACUGAUUUCCAGAAUGGUUGUACCAGUUUGCAAUCCCACCAACAAUGGAGGAGUGUUCUUCUUUCUCCACAUCCUCACCAGCAUCUGUUGUCAUCUGAGUUUUUGAUCUUAGCCAUUUUGAUUGGUGUGAGGUGGAAUCUCAGGGUUGUUUUGAUUUUCAUUUCCCUGAUGACUAAAGAUGUUGAACAUUUCUUUAGGUGUUUCUCAGCCAUUCGAUGUUCCUCAGCUGAGAAUCCUUUGUUUAACUUUGUACGCCAUUUUUAAAUAGGGUUAUUUGACUCUCUGGAGUCUACCUUCUUGAGUUCUCUGUAUAUUUUGGAUAUUAGCCCUCUAUCAGAUGUAGGAUUGGUAUAGAUCUUUCCCCAACCUGUUGGUUGCCGUUUUGUCCUAAUGACAGUGUCCUUUGCCUUACAGAAGCUUUGCAGUUUUAUAAGAUCCCAUUUGUCGAUUCUUGAUCUUAGAGCAUAAGCCAUUGGUGUUUUGUUCAGGCAAUUUUCCCCAGUGCCUAUGUGUUUGAGGCUCUUCCGCACUUUUUCUUCUAUUAGUUUGAGUGUAUCUGGUUUUAUGUGGAGGACCUUGAUCCACUUGGACUUGAGCUUUGUACGGGGUGAUAAGAAUGGAUCGAUUUGCAUUCUCGUACAUGCUGACCUCCAGUUCAACCAGCACCAUUUGCUGAAAAUGCUAUCUUUUUUCCCACUGGAUGGUUUUAGCUCCUUUGUCAAAGAUCAAGUGACCAUAGGUGUGUGGGUUCAUUUCUGGGUCUUCAAUUCUAUUCCACUGAUCUACUUGCCUGUCUGUGUAUCAAUACCGUACAGUUUUUUUAAAUCACUAUUGCUCUGUAAUACUGUUUGAGGUCAGGGAUGGUGAUUCCUCCAGAAGUUCUUUUAUUGAUGAGCAUAUUUUUCACUCUUCUAGGGUUUUUUUUGUUCUAUCAAAUGAAUUUGCAAAUUGCUCUUUCUAACUCUAUGAAGAAUUGAGUUGGAAUUUUGAUGGGGAUUGCAUUGAAUCUGUAGAUUGCUCUUGGCAAAAUGGCCACUUUUAUUAUAUUAAUCUUGCCAAUCCAUGAGCAUGGGUGAUCUUUUCAUCUUCUGAGAUCUUCAAUUUCUUCAGAAACUUGAAGUUCUUGUCAUAUAGAUCUUUUACUUGCUUGGGUGGAGUCACAUGGAGAUAUUUUAUGUUAUUUGUUACUAUCGUGAAGGGUGUCAUUUCCCUAAUUUCUUUAUCAGCCUGUUUAUUCUUUGAGUACAGGAAGCCUACAGAUUUGUUUGAGUCAAUUUUGUAUCCAGCCACUUUGGUGAAGUUAUUGAUCAGGCUUAGUAGUUCUCUGGAGGGACUUUUGGGGUCACUUAAGUAUACUAUCAUAUCAUCUGCAAAUAGUUAUAUUUUGAUUUCUUCCUUUCCAAUUUGUAUCCCUUUGACCUCCUUUUAUUAUCUAAGUGCUCCGGCUAGAACAUCGAGUACUAUAUUGAAUAAGUAGGGAGAGAGUGGCCAGCCUUGUCUAGUCCCUGAUUUUAGUGGGAUUGCUUCGAGUUUCUCUCCAUUUAGUUUGAUGUUGGCUACUGGUUUGCUGUAUAUUGCUUUUACUAUGUUUGAGCAUGGGCCUUGAAUACCUGAUCUUUUCAAAACUUUUAACACAAAAGGGUAUUGAAUUUUGUUAAAGGCUUUCUCAGCAUCUCAUGAGAUGAUCAUGUGUUUUUUUUAUUUGAGUUUGUUUAUAUAGUGGAUUACUUUGAUUAGAUAUUGAACUAUCCCUGUAUCCCUGGGAUGAAACUUACUUCAUCAUGAUAGAUGAUCAUUUUGAUGUGUUCUUGGAUUCAGUCUGCGAGAAUUUUACUGCAUAUUUUUGUGUCAAUUUUCGUAAGGGAAAUUGGUCUGAAGUUCUUUUUCGUUGUUGGGUCUUUGUGUGGUUUAGGUAUAAGCGUAAUUGUCACUGUAUAGAAGGAAUUGUGUAGUGUUUAUUCUGUUUCUAUUUUUGUGGAAUAGUUUAGACAGUAUUGGUAGUAGGUCUUUUUUGAAGGUCUGACAGAGUUCUCCCCUAAACCCAUCUGGUCUUGGGCAUCUUUUGGUUGGGAGACUUUUAAUAACUUCUUAGAGUUCUGCACUAACUCAUCUGGUCCUGGACCUUUCUUGGCUAGGAGACUUUUAACAACUGCUUCUAUGUCUUUAGGAGUUAUGGGGCUGUUUAGAUGAUUUAUCUGAUCCUGAUUUAACUUUGCUACCUGGUAUCUGUCUAGGAAAUUGUUCAUUUCAUCCUGAUUUUCCAGUUUUUUUGAAUAUAAGCUUUUGUAGUAAGACCUGGUGAUUUUUUGAAUUUCCUCAGAUUCUGUUGUUAUGUCUCCCUUUUCAUUUCUGAUUUUGUUCAUUUGGAUACUCUCUCUGUGCCCUCUGGUUAGUCUGGCUAAGGGUUUAUCUAUCUUGUUGAUUUUCUCAAAGAACCAGCUCCUGGUUUUUUUGAGUUUUUGAUUAGUUCUUUUUGUUUCUACUUGGUUGAUUUCAGCCCUGAGUUUCAUUAUUUCCUGCCAUCUACUCCUCUUGAGUGUUUUUGUUUCUUUUUGUUCUAGAGCUUUUAGGUGUGCUGUCAAGCUGCUAAUGUAUGCUCUCUCCUGUAUCUUUUUGGGAGCACUCAGAGCUAUGAGUUUUCCUCUUAGCACUGCUUUCAUUGUGUCCCAUAAAUUUGGGUAUGUUGUGCCUUCAUUUUCAUUAAAUUCUAAAAAGUAUUCAAUUUCUUUAUUUCUUCCUUGACCAACUUAUCAUUGAGUAGAGAGCAUUGUUCAAGUUAGUAUAUGUGGACUUUCCAUCAUUUUUGCUAUUAUUGAAGACCAGGCUUUAUCUGUAUUGAUCUGAUAGAAAGCAUGGGAUUAUUUCAAUAUUCUUGUAUCUGUUGAGGCCUGUUUUGUUACUAAUUUUACGGUCAAUUUUGGAGAAGGUACCAUGAGGUGCUGAGAAGAAGGUAUAUUCUUUUCUUUUAGGAUGAAAUGCUCUAUAAAUAUCUCUUAAGUCCAUUUGAUUCAUAAGUUCUGUUAGUUUCUCUAUGUCUCUGUUUAGUUUCUGUUUCAGUGAUCUGUCCAUUGAUGACAGUGGGGUGUUGAAGUCUCCCACUAUUAUUGUGUGAGGUGCAAUGUGUGCUUUGAGCUUUAGUAAGGUUUCUUUUAUGAAUGUAGGUGUCCUUGAAUUUGGAGCAUAGAUAUUCAGGAUUGAGAGUUCAUCUUGGUGGAUUUUUCCUUUGAUGAAUAUGAAGUGUCCUUCCUUAUGUUUUUUUGAUGACUUUUGGUUGAACAUCAAUUUUAUUCACUAUUAGAAUGGCAACUCCAGCUUGUUUCUUCAGACCAUUUGCUUGGAAAAUUGUUUUCCAGCCUUUUCCUAUGAGGUAGUGUCUGUCUUUGUCACUGAGGUUUGUUUCUUGCAAUGCAGCAAAAUUUUCUGUCCUCUUUGUGUGUCCAGUUUGUUUAUGUUUUUUUUUAUUGGCGAAUUGAGUCCUUCGAUGUUAAAAGAUAUUAACCAAUAGUGACCAUUUCCUGUUAUUUUUGUUGUUAGAGGUGGAUUUAUAUUUGUUUGGCUCUCUUCUUUUGGGUUUGUUGCAAGAAGUUUACUUUCUUGCUUUUUCUAGUUUGUAGUUUCCCUCCUUGUGUUGUUUUCCAUUUAUUAUCCUUUGCAGGGCUGGAUUUGUGGAAAGAUAUUGUAUAAAUUUGGUUUUGUCAUGGAAUGUCUUGGUUUCUCCAUAUAUGUUAAUGGAGAGUUUUGCUGGAUAUAGUAGCCUGGGCUGGCAUUUGUGUUCUCUUAAGUCUGUAUACCAUCUGCCCAAGACCUUCUGGCUUUCAUAGUCUCUGGUAAGAAGUCCAGUGUAAUUCUGAUAGGUCUGCCUUUUUCCCUUAAUGCUUUUAAUAUUCUUUGUUCCUUUUGGUGAUUUUAUUAUUAUGUGAUUGGAGGAAUUUCUUUUCUGGUUCAAUCUAUUUGGAGUUCUGUAGGCUUCUCGUAUAUUUAUGGCAUCUCUUUCUUUAGGUUAGGGAAGUUUUCUAUUAUUUUGUUGAAGAUAUUUACUGCCUUUUAAGUUGGGAAUCUUUGCUCUUUUCUAUACCUAUUACUCUUAGGUUUGAUCUUCUCAUUGUGUCUUGGGUUUUCUGGAUGUUUUGGGUUAGGAGUAUUUGUGUUUUACAUUUUCUUUACCAGUCAUGUCAAUGUUUUCUAUGAUAUCUUCCCCGAGAUUCUCUCUUCUAUCUCUUGUAUUCUGUUGGUGUUGCUUGUGUCUAUGACUCCUGAUCUCUUUCCUAGGUUGUCUAUCUCCAGGGUUGUCUCCCUUUGUGCUUUCUUCAUUGUUUCUAUUUUCAUUUUUAGAUCCUGGAUGGUUUUCUUAAAUUCCUUCCCCUGUUUGGUUGUGUUUUCCUGUAAUUCUUUAAGGGGUUUUUGUGUUUUAAGGGCUUCUACUUGUUUACCUACAUUGUACUGUAUUUCUUUAAGGGAGUAAUUUAUAUCCUUCUUAAAGUCCUUUAUCAUCAUCAUAAGAUGUGACUUCAAAUCCAAAUCUUGCCUUUCCCCUGUGUUUGGAUAUCCAGUAUUUUCUUUGGUGGGAGAACUGAGCUCUGAUGAUGUCAAGAGUCUAGUUUUCUAUUGCUUAGCUUCCUGUGCUUGCCUCUCAACAUCAGGUUGUCUCUGGUGUUAGCUGGUCUCACUGUCUCUGACAGUCACUUGACCUUUCUGUAAGCCUGUCUGUCAACACUCCUAGAGAUUGACUUUUCCCCAGUGGAAUCUGGGUACAGAGAGCUGUGGGACUGGGUUAGCUUCAGGCACAGCUGGACACUGGAAGGGUCCUGUCCCAGACUGCUCCUGGGUUUGUGUGCCCUGAGGGUUCCAGGUGGGUCCCUCAGAGCAGAUGUGGUGGCCUUACCUCUGUUCACAGGUGUGCCAGCGCUCCUUGAGACUGGCUUUCAGCUCUGUGCACAGGCAGAAACCAGAAGGGUCCUGCAUCUGAUUGCUCCUAGGUUCCAGUGUUCAUAGGGUUCUACACACAUUCCUCUUGCACCAGGAAUGUGAGCAGAAGUGGUGCUCUCUCCUGAGCUCUCAGGAUUUUCUGCACUUCUGAGAGUCCAGCUUUCUCCUCCAUGAGACUUGGUUACAGAGUGCUUUGGGACUUAACCCAUAGUUAAGAGACUUUGGAGUUCAAAAAUUAUUUUAUGUAUAUGAGUAUCUUGUCUGCAUGUAUAUCUAUGAAUCACAUGCAUGUCUGGUGCCCAUGGAAGCCAAAAUAUGCUGUUUGAUAUCAUGAGACUGGAGUUACAGAGAGUUAUAAGUCACUACAUGGGUACUAGGAAUCAAACCUAGGUCCUUUGGAAGAGCAGCCAAUACUCUUUAUAACCCAGUCAUCUCUCCAGUCCUGCAAUUUAAAAUUUGAAGAGAACCUGGACUUCUAAAUUGUUAUAAUUUUAAAAGACUGUGAUGGAGAACUCUGGGAAGGGGGACCAAGAAAGGGGGCAACAUUUGGUAUGUAAAUAAAUAAAAUAAUUAUUUAAAUAAAAGAAAAAUCAUGCCAUUCAACAGAAAAAAAGAGACUGUGAGACUUUGAUUUUAAUUGCAAUAUUAAUUAAUAUUAAUUGCAAUAUUAAGCUCUUGGGGGACAAGAAAUGAAAAGUAUAUGGCUUAAAGAUAACUGUUUGUGUGUCAAAGGUGAGUUGUCAUAGAGUUGAUCGAUUUGACACAAAACUAGAAAUAUCUGAGAUGAAGGAACCUCAACUAAAGAUUCCCCUUUAAUGACUUUGGAGACUGAACAUUUCUUUAAGUGAUUCUUGCCAUUAAGGAUUCCUCUGCUGAGACUAUUCUGUUUAGCUCUGUACUCCAUUUUUCAAUUGGAUUAUUUGGUUUGUUAGUGUCUCAGUUCUCGAGUUCAUUAUGUAUGCUGUAUAUUAGCCCUCGUUCUGAUAUAGCCCAUGGCGUCUUGCCUCACUGUCAGAACUCCAACCUUCCCUGUCAUGUGGUGACUUACAUAAUGUACUUCUAUGCACUAACUCUUAGGAAAUACUUCUCAGACUUGUACAACUACUCUGGAAAUCAAUUUGGAAGUUUCUCAGAAAAUUAGGAAUAAUUCUACCUCAAGAACCAGUUAUACAACUCUUAGGCAUUCACCCAAAAGAUGCUGCACCAUCCCACAAGGACACUUGCUUCACUAUGUUCAUAGCAGCUUUAUUCAUAAUAGUCAGGAACUGGAAACAACCUAGAUAUUUCUAACUGCAGAAUGGAUAAAGAAAAUAUGAUACAUCUACUCAGUGGAAUGCUACACAGAUAGUAAAAACAAAGAUAUGAAAUUUGCAAGCAAGUGGAUGGAACUAGAAAAUAUCAUCCCAAGUGAGGUGACCCAGAUCAGCAUAGCAUGUACUCACUUAUAAAUGGAUAUUAAGUACAGGAUACCCAUGCUACAAUCCACAGACCCAAAGAAGCUAAAUAACAAAGAGGAUUCAAGGGAGGAUGAUUGAAUCUCACUCAGAAGGGGAAAUAAGAUAGUCAUUGGAGGUGAAGAGAGGGAGGAAACUGGAUGGGAGAAAGGAUGGAGAGGGGAUCAGGUGUUUGGAGACCUGAGCAGAGAAAGCUGGGAGAGUGAACAGAAUUUGGUGUUGGGGCUGGUGGUGGUAGCAUCUCUAGGACAUGCCAGAGACCUGGGAUGAGAAGUUUCCAGGGAAUCUAUGAGGGUUACUCUAGCUGGGAAUAUGGACACUGAAGUAGCCACUUCCUGUAGCCAGGCAGGACUUCCAGUGGAGGGAGGUAUAUCAACCUGUCCACAAAACCUUCGACCCAAAAUUGUAAAGGGACAAACAUUGAACAGGGACUGAGGGAAUGGCCAAUCAAUGACUGGCCCAACUUGAGACCAAGAAUGAAUCUAUGGCACUAUUAAUGAUGCUCUGUUAUGCUUGCAGACAGGAGCCAACCAUAAUUUUCCUCUGAGAGGCUCUACCCAGCAGCUGCCUGAAACAGAUGCAGAGACCUACAACCAAACAUUGAAUGGAGCUCGGAAGUCUUGUGGAAGAGUUGGGAGAAGGAUUGAGGGACUUGAAGAAGACAGGGAUUCCAUAGGAAUACCAACAGAAUUAAGUAAUCUGGACCUUUGGGGGUUCCCAGAGGCUGAACUACUAACCAAAGAGCAUACAAGGACUGGACCAACCACUCCCCCAAACCCCCACACAUAUGCAACAGAUGUGCAGUUUGGUCUUCCUGUGGGUCUUGCAACAACUGGAGCAGGGGCCCACCUGAACUCUGUUGCCUCCCAGUAGAUUCUCUUUCCCUAACUGGGCUGACUUGUCUGGCCUCAGUGGGAGAGGAUGUACCUAGUCUUAUAGUGACUUGAGGAGCCAGGGUGGGUUGGUACCUAGAGGGCACCUCCCCCUUCUCAGAGGUAUAGGGGAGGGGGAAAUGGGGGGAAGAGCUUUGUGUGGGCAGCAGGGAGGAGAGGGGCUGACAUUGGGAUAUAAAGUGAAUAAAUAAAUAAAUAAAUUAAUUAAUUAAUUAAAAGAAUCUCCUCUGUAAGACUGAUCCAAAGGCUUGUCUUUAGGGCACUUUCUUGAAUGAUGGUUGAUGUUUAAGGGCCCACUUAACUGUGGGCAGUGCUAUGUCUGGACAAGGGGUCCUAGGAUUUAUAAGAAAGGUAUCCAAGUAAGCCAGGGGAAGGGAGCCAGGAAACAGCAUUCCUCCAUGGUCUCUACCUUAGUUCCUGCCUCCAGGUUUCUGCUUGAGUUUGUUCCCUGACUUCCCACAAUGAUGGGUUGUGAUGGAGAAGUGAAGGCUAAAUAGGCCCUUUCCUGCCAGAGUGCUUUGGGCCACACGCUUACCAUAGCAGUGGGAAGCAGACGAAGUCAAGUCUUCAAAACUCAAACUCCCACUGUUCACUGUAGGUAUAUGAAAGUUAACUUUUGUAUGUAGCUCUGAUCCUUUAUUAGUCUCAAGAGGUCUUGUGGCAGAUGAAUUGGUAAGACUGGAAGAACAGUGGGGAUUGAGCCAAGACCUAUCUAGGGGGAGUGGAUCUUACAAAUCGGGCAUGCUCAAGACAUUUUGAAACGGAAGCUUUGCCUUGCCACCUACAGUUGUGAGACUUUCCUUUGGUCUUAAUAUGAAGAUGUGUAAAGUUUCUGGAGGUAUAGAUGAUGUAUAUGCAAGGUUCCCGCAUGUACCUAAGGUCCCAUGGGUUCCCCGCUCUCAAGCUAGACCACACUCAAGUCCCGCAACAUCCCACACAUUCCCUUCAAAUGUUCCUAGUAAUUUAUGACUCCAGUGGUUUCUGUUCUGGGUAACUCCAGCUCAGUGCCUGUUUGGACUUAGGUUUAUUCAGGUUUGAAAUUUGCUGUUUACACCUUCAGCUCCAGAAAAUAUCCUUAGGUAAUCAUUGAUUUUGGCAUUGUUGUUUUUGUACCAUUGUAAGAUUAUGAAUGUUGAUUUUCAAUAUUUUUGUAUAUUGAGCUGGACUUUUCCGUUUCAGCGGUUUCGUCUGUAUUUGGAUUUGCAGUUGUGCCAGCACCAUUUGAUAGUUUAUUUUCCUUUAUCGACACUCUUGUGAAAACGCUUAUCCAUAAAUGUGAGGGAUUAUACCAGGUUCUCAAUCCUAGUCUAUCGAUCUGUGCCUCCUCUGUGUCUGAAGGGUAUUGUCCUGAUUACAGAGGAGUGCGGUCAGUUUUGAAGUAGCAUGACUCCUCUACGUCUGUCACUGCUUUCUAAGAUAGGUUGUUCUGAUUCCUUUUCAUUUCCAGAGGAACUUUAAGGUAGCAUGUCAAUAUCGGCAGAGAAACCAGACAAAUAUUUUUAAAGUUGUCUUGAUUUAGAUCUGUCGCCGAAGCAAAAAAAAAAAAAAAAAAAAAAAAAAAAAAAACUAUUUGCACAGUAUGAGCACCCGAACUCUUCUUCUGUUUCUUUCCAUGUGUUUUACUCCUUCCGAUAAAUGUAUUUCUAAAUACUGCUUCACUGCUGUUGUGAGUGAACGGUCUUAUUAGUUUCAUUUUUGACCCUUCAUUACUCUUUAUAGGAAUAAUAUUUAUCUUUGCUGAUAUUGUAUGCCUCGAUCGUGUAGACCCUCUCAUUAGUCUCACUUAUCGAUUAAAAUGUUUCUUAUAAUUUUAUGAUGCUUCAUUUAGGAUGAUCAAUUAAAGCUUCUCCUAUGACUCAGACAUUGGAUUUAAGAUGUGCACAAGGUUGACUUAUUAUUAUAAAAAAAGCAAGCUCUGCCAGUGUUAUUAAGAUUAUAAGUAUCCAGAAGGAGUCGGAUAAAGAAUGUGUGUUUUCAUUGUUCUGUUAUGGGCGUGCUAUGUAGGAAAUUAUAGGCAGGAGAAAAGGCCCUGGAAAGAAUGAUUUUUCUUCUUAGAUGUAAAAGAAAGGAUGUGGCUGAGGUAUCAAAGGAGUGGGACUGAAGCAGGGCAAAGCUGACACACUAGCUGUGAGAAACCUAACGGUUUUCCUUCAUCAGGGAACAGGGGAUUACAUAUAAAAAACACGGGAGCUAGAGUACAGUUUAAAGCUGCCGACGGGAAGCCAACAUCUGCUUGAGGGAGUCCUUGAUGACUCUGAUUUCUCUGAGAUGUACGGAGUGAAUGACGGAGGGAACAGGUUUGCAGAGAGCGGUAACGUCUGAAAUAAUUAUUUGGAAAACUAUUUGGAACUUGGGAAUUAAAGUAAGUCUGUAACAUGGAAACUCUGUAAUAAAAAUUCUCUGCAGUCAUCUUUAUACAAAGGAUUCUAUUUAAAAAGAAUAGAGAAUUCUCUGGAGUCUCCUUACAGCGAAUUUCCAUUAUUACCGAGGCAACUGCAAUCGGCCCUGAAUGAAGGCAGCUGGAUGAAAGGUCCUUGGUGUGUUCCUACCUUCUGGUGAGUUGGCCAAGAAAGCCUAAGGAAAGUUUUAAUUAAGCUUUGCGUGAACUAUUCUAUAUCCAAAGCCCAUUCAACGUUGUGCCCCAGUAGCCCCAGUCACUUUCUGAACUCUUUAUCAUCUCUGAAAUGUACCAGGGAGAAAAUGACUUCUCUCCAGACCCCUGAUGGGGACAGUAAACCUGACUCUGCACUUAAUAGACUGUUCCUACCCCUGCCCCAGAGCCUAAAGAGAAACCCCUGGAAUGUGUUCUUUGACUAAAGCCAGAAAUUCCAGCUUAUGUGUGAGAUCUUGGAAUAGAUACCUUAACAUGUGGUGGACGCUAACGCUGGGCAGGUAGGUGUGUGAUUUUUGAAUAUAGAGGGGUUGUGGACUGAGUAUCAUGACCUUUGGCUCACAUUUGUGUAUUGAAACCCUAACCCUUCUGGAGUUGGUGCUUGUGGUCUUUGGAAGGUAGUUUAGAAAUAGAUAAAGUUCUGACCGGGUUGGGGAUUUAGCUCAGCGGUAGAGCGGUUGCCCAGCAAGCGCAAGGCCCUGGGUUCGGUCCCCAGCUCCGGAAAAAAAAAAGAAAUAGAUAAAGUUCUGAAGGUGAGGGUCACACUCUCUCCAUGCACACACUAAGACCAAGACAGAAGCUGCUUACAAACCAACAGGAAAGGCUGCAGAGUGAAUGCCUGCGUGCCGACACCUUGGAUUGGGACCUCUAUUCUCUGUAACAGAGAAACUAGCCUUCUUUUAAAGCAGUCUAGUUUAUAGUAUUCUGAAAUGGCGUCUUGAGCGGAAACAGAAUGUAAUAUUUGCUAAGCACCAGCUAUGUGUCAGACAUCCUUCCUCACUUAGUUAUUGGAACUGUGCUAGGAGGCAUCAAUUGUUCCCAGGUCUCUCAGGAGGAAGUAAACACCAGCACAGGGCUAGGAAGUGAUUGACACAUGCCACCACAUCACCUUCCUCUCCAGAGAACCCGUGGGAACUGAAUUUCUUACCAGCAAUCCACACCCACCAUCCUUGAUUACUGACCCUCGGACCAUUGCAAGGUCCUCUAAGCUUCUCCUAUUUUAAGGUCUUAAUCUUAUUAAUCUCUUCUUCCAGAUAAUGAUUAAAGAUGAAGGUAGCUUCUUGAGGGUCUCCCUCCUCCUACCUCCCGAGGUUGCCUAUUUCCAUGUUUUCUUGCUGGUCCUCAGGGCUUCAGUUCUGUUGCCCCAAUACCUGAUCUUGUUUCCCCUUCCCCUCCCUGUCAUCUCUCCCAUCCAAACCUUCCCUCCCUCUUCCCCUGCGAUUGAUUUCUUCUCCCUCCCUCCCAAGUGGGACUGAGGCAUCCUCACUUGGGCCCUUCAGCUUGUCAACCUUCUUGAGUUAUGUAGAUUGUAUCCUGGGUAUUCUGUACUUUUUGGGCUAAUAUCUACUUAUUAGUGAGUACAUACUAUGCAUUCCUUUUGGGUCUGAGUUACCUCAGGAUGUUAUUUUCUAGUUUCAUUCAUUUGCCUGCAAAACUCAUGAUGUCCAUUUUGUAAAUGUACUACAUUUUCUGUACCCAUUUUCCAUUGUGGGACAUGCAGGUUGUUUCCAGCUUCUUAUUUCUUAUCACAAAUAAGGCUGCUAUGAACAUAGUGGAACACAUGCCCCUGUGUCAUGGUGGGACAUCUUCUGGGUAUAUACCCAAGAGUGGUAUAGAUGGGUGUUCAGGUAGAUCUAUUGCCAAUUUUCUGAGGAACCUCCAGAUUGAUUUCCAGAGUGAUUGUACCAGUUUGCAAUCCCACCAGCAAUGGAGGAGUGUUCUCCUUUCUCCACAUCCUCGCUAACAUGUGCUGUCACCUGAGUUUUUGAUCUUAGCUAUUCUGAUUGUUAUAAGGUGGAAUCUCAGGGUUGUUUUGAUUUGCAUUUUCCUGAUCACUGAGGACUUUGAACAUUUCUUUAAGUGCUUCUCGGCCUUUCGAGAUCCCUCUGUUGUGAAUUCUCUGUUUAGCUGUGUAGCUCUUAUUUAUUUAUUUAUUUAUUUAUUUAUUUAUUUAUUUAUUUAUUUUGGUGGUUAGCUUCUUGAAUUCUUUAUAUAUUUUUGGAUUUUAGCCUAUUGGAAAUGGGGUUAGUGAAGAUUUUUUUCCCCAUCUAAUAGGUUGCUGAUUUGUUCUAUUGACUUUGUCCUUUGCCUUACAGAAGCUUUCCAGUUUCAUGAGGUCCCAUUUAUUGAUCGUUGAUCUUAGAGCCUGAACCUUUGGAAUUCUGUUUAGGAAAUUUCCCCCUGUGCCAAUGAGUUCAAGUCUCUUUCCCACUUUCUCCUCUAUUAUAUUCAGUGUAUCUGGUUUUAUGUUGAGGAGCUUGACCCACUUGGACUUGAGUUCUAGAAUGUGCCGGAGACCUGUGAGGUGAGAGACUCUCAGGAUUCAAAGGGAGGGACAUUGGAUGAAAUGUUCUAUAGUGGGGAGGGGGAUCUUGUAGAGUCCACCUCCAGUGGAGGGACAGGACAUCAAGUAGAGGGAUGAAGUUGCAAUCCCACAGUCAGAAUCUCUGACACAGAAUUGUUCCUGUCCGAAGGAACUGCAGACACAAAAAUGGAGAUGAACCUGAGAGAAAAGAGGUACAGACAGGCCCAAAUUGGAAUCUAGCUCAAAGGGAGGCCCUGGAGCUUGACACUGUUACAGAUGCUGUGGUAUGCUUGCAGACAGGAGCCUAGCAUGGCUUUCCUUCAAGAGGCCCAACAUGCAGCUGAGUCAGGUGCAGAUACUAGCACUCAACUAAGAGACUGAAGCUGGGGAGGGACCCCUUUGGUUGAAUUAGGGAAAAACUGGAGGAAUCUGAGGAGGAGAGAGGCCCCAUGGGAAGGCCAGUAGUCUCAACUGACCUGGACCCCCAAGAUAUCUCAGACAUUGAGCCACCAACCAGGCAGCCUACACCAGAUGAUAUGAGGGCCACGACACAUAUACAGUAGAGGACUGCCUGGUAUGGCCUCAAUGAGAGAAUGUCUGGCAGGGUUGGACUGGAGGCGUGGGUACAUCCUUUUGGAGACAGGAAGAGGAGGUAUGGGAUGGAGAGUGGGUGGGAGACAGACCAGGAGAGUGAUGAAGAUUGGACUGUAAAAAAGGAUUAAAGAAUAAAAAGAAAAACAAAAAACAAACAAACAAACAAACAAAAAACAAUGAUGGUAGCCUCUAAACUUGGCACAGUUAGGUUUCUUAGAAGUUUAUUUUUAUUACUUUUAAUCAUGUGUGUAUGUGUAUGAAUAUAUAUAUAUGUGUGUGUGUGUGUGUGUGUGUGUGUGUGUGUGUGUGUGUGUGUGUGAAGAUCCCCCUGGAGGUAGAAUUGCAGGCAGUUGUAAGCCACCUGACAUGGACACACACACACACACACACACACACACACACACACACACACACACACACACUAUGUGUCCUCUGGGUACAAAGUGGUAACAGAGGAGUUGAGUUGCUUGCCAUUUUCACUAUUUUGAAUAAAUGUGCUUUCCUAAGAAGUGAAUUGAAAGUUUGUAAUGGAGUUUCACCGUAAGAAGACUUCAGAGAAUUCUAAAUUAUUUUUAAACGGAAUCCAUUGUGUCAAGAUGACUUUGGAGAGUUGUUAUUAGACAGUUUCCAUGUAAAAGACUUACUCUAAUUUACCUUUUUCUCACUUUAAUCUAUGUUUUAGGUAUUUAUCCAGUCUCUCUAAGCAAAUGGAAGUGUUCAUGAUUAUUCUUUUGCAUCAGGUGGUCUGCUUAGCGGUCUCAGUCUUUUGUUUUUCACAUUCCCCAGUAUUUACUGGGGUGAUGCCCAGUCAGGGUUAUCACAGAUACUUGAUCUUCAGUGUUUAUUACAGUGUUAUUAUAGUCCUGGUGCCUCCAAAACCGAGGUAGAGCUGAUCCCUGAGUUAGUGGCUUCCCUGAGCUGUGGGAAGUGCACC